GACGAACGCUGGCGGCGUGCCUAAUACAUGCAAGUAGAACGCUGAAGGAGGAGCUUGCUCUUCUGGAUGAGUUGCGAACGGGUGAGUAACGCGUAGGUAACCUGCCUGGUAGCGGGGGAUAACUAUUGGAAACGAUAGCUAAUACCGCAUAACAGUAGAUGUUGCAUGACAUUUACUUAAAAGGUGCAAUUGCAUCACUACCAGAUGGACCUGCGUUGUAUUAGCUAGUUGGUGGGGUAACGGCUCACCAAGGCGACGAUACAUAGCCGACCUGAGAGGGUGAUCGGCUACACUGGGACUGAGACACGGCCCAGACUCCUACGGGAGGCAGCAGUAGGGAAUCUUCGGCAAGGGACGGAAGUCUGACCGAGCAACGCCGCGUGAGUGAAGAAGGUUGUCGGAUCGUAAAGCUCUGUUGUAAGAGAAGAACGAGUGUGAGAGUGGAAAGUUCACACUGUGACGGUAUCUUACCAGAAAGGGACGGCUAACUACGUG
rnacentral:rRNA from 1 species